GAUGAACGCUGGCGGCGUGCCUAAUACAUGCAAGUCGAGCGAACGGACGAGAAGCUUGCUUCUCUGAUGUUAGCGGCGGACGGGUGAGUAACACGUGGAUAACCUACCUAUAAGACUGGGAUAACUUCGGGAAACCGGAGCUAAUACCGGAUAAUAUUUUGAACCGCAUGGUUCAAAAGUGAAAGACGGUCUUGCUGUCACUUAUAGAUGGAUCCGCGCUGCAUUAGCUAGUUGGUAAGGUAACGGCUUACCAAGGCAACGAUGCAUAGCCGACCUGAGAGGGUGAUCGGCCACACUGGAACUGAGACACGGUCCAGACUCCUACGGGAGGCAGCAGUAGGGAAUCUUCCGCAAUGGGCGAAAGCCUGACGGAGCAACGCCGCGUGAGUGAUGACGGUCUUCGGAUCGUAAAACUCUGUUAUUAGGGAAGAACAUAUGUGUAAGUAACUGUGCACAUCUUGACGGUACCCAAUCAGAAAGCCACGGCUAACUACGUG
rnacentral:rRNA from 1 species